rnacentral:lncRNA from 1 species
AGUCCACGACGCCGCCGCCGCCCUCUCGUGCCCUCCUCUCUGUCGCUGUCGCCACGUGCCCUCCUCUCUGUCGCUAUCGCCGCCCGCCCUCCUCUCCGUCGCCGCCGCCGCGCGCCCUCGUCUCCGUCGCCGUCGCCGUCAUCGCGCGCCUUCCUCUUCGUCGCCGUCGCCGCUCGCCUUCCUCUCCGUCGCCGUCGCCGCUGCCUCCCUCUAUUUCGCCGGUGACACCGCCGCUGCCAUCCUCUAUUCCGCCGGUCAUGCCGUUGCCACCUCCCUCUAUUUCGCCGGUGAUGCCGCCGCCCUCUAUUCCACCUUCGUUGUUGUCCUCUGCUCUGGUGCCGUCACCGCCAAACUGCCCUCCCAGUUGCAGCUAGAGGUGUUUGCCUGUGUGGCCCUGCUCUUUCCCUGCCAUGGAUACGUUUCUUUGAAUGAGCAAACAAGCUUCAUGCUCUGUCACUAACGGUGAGGACAGACAAUUGCCCCAUAAUGCUUGAGUCUUUUGUCCAAGACGAUUCCAACAUCAGGAUUGCCAUCUAUUCAAGUAAUACACGGUGAUGCCUUUCUGAAUGAUAUUGGUACAAUUGGAAGGAUAAUAGAGCAAAGAUUUACCUUUUGUUUUUACGGUGUCCUGGCCAUAGUCAAACACGGGAGCUCACCAUACAUUAGUUGAUUCUGCCUAAUUCUAAUACCAAUGUAAUUGCAAGUUGACAUUGAUUUCAGACACCGCUUUGUGUAAAGAUAUUUUGUAGAAGUUCUUUUAUCCUACUUCAACUAUUGCAUGCCGAAGC